rnacentral:rRNA from 1 species
UACGUAGGUGGCAAGCGUUGUUCGGAAUUACUGGGCGUAAAGCGCGUGUAGGCGGCUCUUCAAGUCAGGCGUGAAAGCCCCGGGCUUAACUCGGGAACUGCGCUUGAUACUGUCGAGCUAGAGUGUGGAAGGGGCGAUUGGAAUUCCGUGUGUAGCGGUGAAAUGCGUAGAUAUACGGAGGAACACCAGAGGCGAAGGCGGAUCGCUGGGCCAACACUGACGCUGAGACGCGAAAGCUGGGGGAGCAAACGGG